rnacentral:lncRNA from 1 species
GAGCUAAUGUAUAAAUGUAUUUGGUUACACAGUACAAGUUUGACAAGGGUUAAGUGUUCAAUCCGAUUAUUAUUUUCAUGAUGAUAAAUAUUAAUGUUAUUAUAAACACUUUUAAGUAACAUUCAAUUAGAUAAAAUUCAAAGUGAUUUGAAACACAUAAAUUUCUUUGCCCCCAUUUCUCUUAAUCCUCCAGGGCUUUGCUAGGCUCUACCCUCAGGCAAAAAUAUCUUUUGCUUUGAAGUUCAUUUUAUUUCAUUAUACCUCCCUGGAUUUAUUAGUGUGGCCUAUUAAUGUUUAGGUUAUUUAUUUUCAUUUAUUAAGGCCUUUCUAUAAGAUAUUCUCUUUCUUCUUUAACUUCUUUCCAGAAUUCCUAAUGUCUGCAGAAUGGACAAAGGCUAACCCAUCCUCAAUCCUGGAUUCCUCUUUAAAACAGUGCAGCAAAAGAGAAGGGAGACAUUCAUUCCCUCCAUCUGAAACGACCAUGGAGAAAAUAGAGUCGAGGUGUAAUAGAGCUUAAAAUCAACUUUAUUAAAUUGAAUUUCUCCAGAAUUGAGAAGACAUCUCACUUUUUCUAUAGCCUUCAGGUGCUAAAAUGACAUGCCCCAGGGAAGUAUCUGAGCAAGUCAUAGCAAAAUGUUACCAUUUUGCCUCUGGUUGGAGCACUAGAAAUCCUGCCACUCAGUUCUACUCAAGCAGAGAGGUUGAAUUCCCUCUUGAAAAAUACUUCUAUCAGAUUCUACUUCUAACCUUUCACUCUGCAAGUGUUUCAAGCCAGUCCAAGAAACAGAUGGGACAGAUGCCAGAAUGAUGUGUGCCAUUCCUUACCCAUUAUUUCCACUAGGCUGAAUAUUUAACAUCUCAAAAUGCCAAGUCUAAUAUAUUCCCUAAUAUUCCCCAUUGCAAACAUGGUCAACCUAUAGUCCUUACAAUGAACUAUAAGUAAAUGACUGUUCCAUCCUUAUAGCUAAGACAAUGAACUUUGAACUUAUCUUUGCCUUUCCCCCUUUCUCUUACUACAUGCAAUUGUUUCAUUAGCAGUUCUAUUGGUUAUAUGUUCUAUCAGGUAUACAGCUAAUUCUUGACAAACCAUUGUGACCAAUGGUCUCUUACACUUUAACUUUAUUUAUGAUAUCUGAUACCUAUUUUCCUAAUAGUCUAUUUUAAUUUCUUUCUUUUUUGUUAUUUAAGUUAUCACUAUUCUAUACUAAAC